GAUGAAGAACGUAGCGAAAUGCGAUAAGUAAUGUGAAUUGCAGAAUUCAGUGAAUCAUCGAAUCUUUGAACGCACAUUGCGCCCAUUAGUAUUCUAGUGGGCAUGCCUGUUCGAGCGUCAUUUCAACCCUUAAGCCUAGCUUAGUAUUGGGAAUCGACUUUACUGUCGUUCCUCAAAUUCAACGGCGGAUUUAUAGCAAUCUCUGAACGUAGUAAUUUUUUUCCUCGUUUUUGAAAUACUAUAAACCUCAGCCGCUAAACCCCCAAUUUUUUUAUGGUUGACCUCGGAUCAGGUAGGAAUACCCGCUGAACUUAAGCAUAUCAAUAAGCAGGA
rnacentral:misc_RNA from 1 species